CCUACCAUGGACAGGAAGAAGGGGAACAAGCUGAGAGAAAUAGCUCAGUUAAGCCUAAAUGAAAUGCUCUGCCGUGAUUGAGAUUGCUCAGACUGGUCAACACUGGCUAACAGUAGCCUUCAAGUGAUACGUCUAAAAGGACAUGGAGGAUGUGAGAGGAAAGACUUGACAAGCAUUCCAGAUAUGAAAGCUGCAGCUUAAUAACAGGCCUGAACUGGCUGCCAUAUGCCCUCUGGACUGGAAUAUUUUGUCUGCCAGUAAAAACAAAGCAAGAUGUAGGUGAGCAUCAGCUCCUCCCUGGGUGGUUUGGAGGUAAUGUCUGAGACUGGAACAGCUGGGACCUCCCUAUGAACUCAGACAUGUUAUGUCCAAUUUAAUCCAGCAGGUGGCAUACUAGAGCGCAAUGAGGAUCUCAGCGCCUGGCUUCACUUUACACGGCUACAGUUGGUGUGACAACAAGGAAGUAAAACGAGUCCUCCAGACCUAAAUGAUCCACCAGAUGUGGGAGAGGAAUACAGCUGGAUCCAGUGUCUUCAGACAAAUUUGUUGAUCGGGGGUGGGGGGGUUCUAUCUAUUUCAUGCUGCAGUAGGAUUUUCUGAUUAGAUAUGAUUAGGUAUAUUUUCUGUAUGGAUUAUUUUUUACUUCUUGUGAGGAUGGGGUGGUUUGAACUAGAAGUAGACCGUCCUGCAAACACAGGAAAUAAAGGCAGCUAAAAACUUGAGCUUUUAAGGCAACCAUGAAACAAAUCUGAAGCUUAAGCUUAAACCCAGCCUAUGAUUUGUAGCUGGACACUCAGGCCCAGCCUUUUCAUUUAAAUCCAGCUCCAAAUAGGACGGAAGUAGAGUUAUAGGAUGAAACAUGAGUGUUAGACUGAUGGAUGUUGCUGGUAUUGUCUGAAACUUCUUAAUCAUCUAGUGAUGCAUUUACUGACUUUGGCUAAAUUGCAUUUGCUUUUAGUGAGGAAGACAUUUUUUCAGUUUUCUAUUGAAACUUAAUUGACAUUCUUUUACCAUAUUUACAGUCGACAAAUAAAGCACAAAUUUAAGAAAAUAGAACAGUAAAAAUUUUAAUUUUUUAAAUAAAAAAUUUGUGGUAUUAAAAUGCUGUUGUUUGGAUGCAUUGCAGCAGAUGGGACUAAUUCACUUCAUUCAUGCCAACUUAAAUAAACCACAUUAUCAUUUUGCCAGAUGGAAUAGAACAGACCUUAGCCUUAAGUUGUGAAAAUAAAAUAAUAUGUUACUAGGAGUCACCAAAUAUGUCAUGUUGUACAGUAGCGUAGUUUGUAGCACAGUUGCUUUGAAGCUAGAAGCAGAGGCGUAAGCAGAACAUUUUUAUAAGGGUGAACAGGCAAUAACCAAUGUACACUGAGGGGUGACCGAAAGUGGAUAAACUCUGGGUCAAUCUACACUGUUCCAACAGGAAAAUUAACAAGCAAAACAUCCAUAUUUUCUAAAUAAAGACAAACUAUACUUUCCUACAGCCUAUGCUAACAAGUGGACGCAUAUAUUUAAACAAUAAAAUUGUUAUUUAUCUAUGAUUUCAUUGAAGACUCCCAGAUUGACUUGCAAAGACACAUUUUCUCUUUACCCCAUAAUACACAAAAUGUCGUUUUGAAAAGAGCAUGAAUUCUGAAUUCAUCAUAUUUGAUGUUAGUAUAC